GCGAGUACCACUCCCAAUUCGGCCUACACCUGGCACGAACUCGGGACCUCUGCCUUGGUAGCACACGUGACCGCCCUCCUUCAGCAUCACAAAAGCUAGCUAUUCGCUGGCGCAAGUGGAGACACUUAAGUUUCAAACAUCCCCAUGUGCUACAUAGACAUCAGGAUAGAUAAUAAGAGUAAAUAACAGAGUAGCAGCAGUAUAUGGUGAAUCAGGACCUUUUGCUGAUGUUCGACGAUGAAAACAUCCUCUAAGCUCCUUGAAAAGUGGGACACUGUAUUGAAGCCCAAAGUCAUCAAACUGACAAAAUCCUGACGACGACCACCAAUUUGCGUCACCUCCUGAAGUCUGCAGGAAAACUGCCAGAGAAUGACAGGGAAACCAACUGGAACAAGGAUAUGUCCUCCCUGCUGCUGCAGCUUCAUCUCCUCCCACCCCCAGCAGGAGGGAAGAGGACCAAGAUCAGUGCCAGUGAUGCUGUGGGCAGGCUAGUGCACUUUCAUAAGUCAUGCUGCAGCAUUGUAGACCAUCUUGAUAGGAGCCAUGGUCGACAGACAUAGCUCCUUGCCGUCGGAAGAAGACGGAGCAAGAUUGGAAAACUACUACAUCGUGGUGGACAAAAGGCUUGUUACCUGCCAGGCAACUAGUGGUCUGUGUGCAUUUGAUGAACUGUUCUGUUUGAUUGAAGAGUCUAUGACCCUAAGAUUGUCUUGCGUGGUGAAGAUCAAUUUGAAAUGCAUUGUAAUCCAUCGCAAUCAGACCCACAGCUCCCAUCUGUGUAUGGUGUAAAUGAUUCUAAACUAAACUGUUUGCAGCACUUCCAUGGUUGUAAUAAGGGGUGGCUCACUUUGAGUUAAAACUGUUUGAAUAUGUCUCUGAAAAUUUCAUUUUGAAACGUGCGCUUUGCUCUAGAAUCUGCUCAUUUGACUAUGGGUACUUGGAGUGCAAAAAGUGUCCAACUGAAGUCAACCUAGAGAACAGUGGAAAUAGCCUUGUACUUAACUCUAUUCAAACUCUAUCACUGCAAAUAAUCAUUGUUUUUUCCCCUUUUCUUAGCCAGGGCAUGACUGUGGAUCUAAAUCAUUUUAUAAUUGAACGUCACACACUUUUUAAACAGUUGCAUAAAAACGUGUUACCCAAACAUAACUUUAUGAUACAUUACCCAGCAUGCAUAAGACAAACCGGUUCUUCAUUAAAUAUGUAGAUCAUGAGGUUUGAGGCGACGCACAAACUCUUUAAGAACACCCUCAAACUUACUAAGUCCCUUGCCAAAAAACACCAAUUUGCUGUAGACCAUCACUGGGAGACAUCACCAUUGCGACAUACUGAAUAUGGACCGAUAAAGGCAUUUUCCCUCAGUGAUUUUACUGGUGGUGAUGAGCUGUCAGCGU